UCCCCGAUAGCUCAAUUGGUAGAGCGCCGGACUGUUAAUCCGUAGGUUGUAGGUUCGAGUCCUACUCGGGGAGC
rnacentral:tRNA from 1 species